rnacentral:rRNA from 1 species
GACGAACGCUGGCGGCGUGCUUAACACAUGCAAGUCGAACGAUGAACCCGGAGCUUGCUCCGGUGGAUUAGUGGCGAACGGGUGAGUAACACGUGAGUAACCUGCCCUUGACUCUGGGAUAACUGCGGGAAACUGUAGCUAAUACCGGAUACGACCCUCGGCGGCAUCGCCAGGGGGUGGAAAGAAUUUCGGUCAAGGAUGGACUCGCGGCCUAUCAGCUAGUUGGUGAGGUAACGGCUCACCAAGGCGACGACGGGUAGCCGGCCUGAGAGGGUGACCGGCCACACUGGGACUGAGACACGGCCCAGACUCCUACGGGAGGCAGCAGUGGGGAAAAUUGCACAAUGGGCGCAAGCCUGAUGCAGCAACGCCGCGUGAGGGAUGACGGCCUUCGGGUUGUAAACCUCUUUUAGCAGGGAAGGAGCGAAAGUGACGGUACCUGCAGAGAAAGCACCGGCUAACUACGUGCCAGCCGCCGCCGUAA